rnacentral:rRNA from 1 species
UGCAAGUCGAACGAUUAAACUUUCCUUCGGGAAAGAUAUAAAGUGGCGUACGGGUGAGUAACACGUAGGUAAUGUACCUUUGGGUGGGGAAUAACUUAGGGAAACUUAAGCUAAUACCGCAUAAUGCAGCGGCUCGACAUCGAGACAGUUGUUAAAGGAGUAAUCCGCCUAAAGAGCAGCCUGCGGCAGAUUAGCUUGUUGGUAAGGUAAUGGCUUACCAAGGCAACGAUCUGUAACCGACCUGAGAGGGUGGUCGGUCACACUGACACUGAAUAACGGGUCAGACUCCUACGGGAGGCAGCAGUCGGGAAUUUUGGGCAAUGGGCGAAAGCCUGACCCAGCAACGCCGCGUGAAGGAUGAAGUAUUUCGGUAUGUAAACUUCGCAAGAAUAGGAAGAAUAAAUGACGGUACUAUUUGUAAGGUCCGGCUAACUACGUGCCAGCAGCCGCGGUAAUACGUUAGGGACCAAGCGUUGUUCGGAUUUACUGGGCGUAAAGGGCGCGUAGGCGGCGUGGUAAGUCACUUGUGAAAUCUCUGAGCUCAACUCAGAACGGUCAAGUGAUACUGCUAUGCUAGAGUGUGGGGAGGGCAAUCGGAAUUCUUGGUGUAGCGGUGAAAUGCGNUAUAUAUCAAGAGGAAUAUCAGAGGCGAAGGCCGGAUUGCUAGACUAACACUGACGCUGAGGCCGAAAGCUAGGGUAGCAAACGGGAUUAGAUACCCCGGUAGUUCCUAGCCCUUAANCGAUGAGUGCUUGGGUGUCUGAGUUUUUACUUUGGGUGCCAACUAACGCUUUAAGCCAUUCGCCUGGGGGAGUAUGCCCCCCAGGUGAAACUCCAAGGGUAAUUUGACCGGGGAUCCCCCACAGCCGGUGAGCAUUGUGGUUUUAUUUUCCCCCACCCGAAAAACUUACCCAAACUAUAUUUUGGGAAUCCUGCUUGAAAUAGCCGUAGUUUUGACAAAUCAAACCGGAAAACCAAGGUGCUGCAUGGCUGUCCUCAGCUCGGUCGUGAGAUGUUGGGGUUAAGUCCCGCAACGAGCGCAACCCCUAUUAAACAGUUGCCAUCAUAAGUUGGGAACUCUGUUGAGACUGCCGUUGAUAAAACGGAGGAAGGUGGGGAUGAUGUCAAGUCAUCAUGGCCUUUAUGUUUAGGGCUACACACGUGCUACAAUGGUUGUACAAAGCGUUGCAAUCUUGCAAAAGUGAGCUAAUCGCAAAAAAACAAUCUCAGUUCGGAUUGUAGUCUGCAACUCGACUACAUGAAGUUGGAAUCGCUAGUAAUUCGCAGAUUCAGACNCGACNAGNGGGAAAUAACGUUCCCGGGUCUUGUGCACGCUCCCCUUUAAAGGGGCUCGAAAAGUGGGGUUGUAUCUAGGAAGUGGUUUUGCU